rnacentral:rRNA from 1 species
UAGUACGGCGAGUGAAGAGGGAAGAGCCCAAGAUUGAAAGCUGGCGUCUUCGGCGUCCGCAUUGUAAUCUCAAGAAGUGUUUUCCGCUUCGGACCAAGCCUAAGUCCCCUGGAAAGGGGCAUCAUAGAGGGUGAUAAUCCCGUACAUGGCUUGGAGCGCCCGAGGCUUUGUGAUACGCUUUCUAAGAGUCGAGUUGUUUGGGAAUGCAGCUCAAAAUGGGUGGUAAAUGCCAUCUAAGGCUAAAUAUUGGGGAGAGACCGAUAGCGAACAAGUACAGUGAUGGAAAGAUGAAAAGAACUUUGAAAAGAGAGUUAAACAGUACGUGAAAUUGCCAAAAGGGAAGGGUAGGAGGUCAGAGAUGCGGCCUGGGAUUCAGCCUUGCUUUUGCUUGGCGUUUUUCCCAGAUUGCAGGCCAACGUCGGUUUUGGGCACUGGAGAAGGGUAGGAGGAACGUGGCACCCCUCGGGGUGUGUUAUAGCCUCCUACUGGAUACAGCGACCGAGACCGAGGACAGCAGCGUACUCGCAAGAGCGGGCCUUCGGGCACCUUUACGCUUAGGGCGUUGGCAUAAUGGCCCUCUACCACCCGUCUUG